rnacentral:rRNA from 1 species
UACAGACGGUCCAAACGUUAUUCGGAAUUACUGGGCUUAAAGGGUUUGUAGGCGGCCUUGUAAGUCAGGUGUGAAAUCCCUCGGCUCAACCGAGGAAUAGCGCUUGAUACUGCAAGGCUUGAGGGAGACAGGGGUAAGCGGAACUGAUGGUGGAGCGGUGAAAUGCGUUGAUAUCAUCAGGAACACCGGUGGCGAAAGCGGCUUACUGGGUCUCUUCUGACGCUGAGGUACGAAAGCUAGGGGAGCGAACGGG